ensembl:lncRNA
AGAAGGCUCCAGAGUUCCUGGAGCAGCAAUGGGCAGAGUGGGUGGGGAUCUGGGGACAGCUAUGCUUUCUUCUGGUGCAAAGACAAGGCCCAGGCUUAGGUGAGGGGGUUGAAACUGGUAUUCUUGGAAAGCUCCAAGCUAAAUGAGCUAGGAAUGUGAAUCGUAAGAAUAAUGUGUCUCCCUAAGAGCAUGCUGGGAAACAAGCCAAUCUGGGCAGCUCAUGCUUGUUGCCAUGCAUGCAAUUGAAUUUCCCCAGAAUGCUUCAGGAACUCUAGGAGAAAGACGCUGGGGCCCUUUGAUAUGGCAAUUUAGAUCAAGUUGCAGAGACUGAAGUGUAGGUCAGAGGGAGAAAUGUGGCCAAGAACUCACCAGCAGGAGCAAUGGAGGAGAAGGUGCUUCUUGUUGGGCCUGAGGGAGCCCUGGGUGCUCCGGCUGGGUCAGCUCUCCAUGGCCGAGGGACGUGCUGGUCUCAGGGCACACAGGAGGACUGGCAGGAAGGAGCCUGCCCAGCUGAUGCUUGGGAUUCAGAAAUCCUAUCCUUCUGUGAAACAGGAUCGUGCUUGCUGUCUGUCUCUGGAGGAAGCUGGAGAGAGAGGAUCCCAUCAGGGUUGGUGGGCAGAGGGCAAGGUGCAGGGCGCCAGGGGCAAACCGGGCAAAGUGAACUCAGGAAACGGUGACCUGCUACCUUCAUGGCUGACCACACACAGAUCAGAUACUGACCCAGAGGCUGAAUUAGGUGCUGACUCAGGGGACAUUUCCUAAAAGCUAGUGAUAACAUAUAGGCCCAGAGCGGGGCGGUGGUGGGCUUGUUUCUCCCCAUCAUUGCCCCCAGCUCACAGGAGACCUUGCCCAUAAAUGGGUGAUCAAGUCGGGCGUGGUUUUCCUGGGCUUCUCGGUGCCUGAUCCCCGGCACUGAGGUUCUUACUGUGGGGCCCCAGACUCCAUCUGGGUCUCCCCCACCUUCCUGGGACAAGGGCCAGGGUGGGGCACAGCUGGGGCUUGCUUCAGUCCCAUUGGACCUGGGGGACAGAACUGGGACCUGACCAACCAGGAAAGGGUCCUUUCACCAAUGUCAAUCAGACCCCUUCAAGCUCCCUGGGAGAACCCUGGCCUGGAGGAGAGAGGAGCCCUCACCCCACAGUGCCAUGCAGGGGAAUUGCCCCAGCUCUCUGCCCUCACCAUCCUGAGGGCCUCUAUGAGAGUAACAACAAGAAGGAGAGGCAGAGAGGCGGAAUAAGACUGCAAUCUGUUAGAAGACUUGGUGUUGAGUUUUAUAUUUACUCACUGGUCACCUUGAGCAUAUCCUUUAAUCUCUCUGAGAGAACACAGCACAGUGGUUCAGCAUACGGCCUCUGGAGCCGAUUGUCUGGGUUCAAAUCCAGGCUCAGCUACUAGCUGUGUGACCUUGGGCAAUUACCUAACCUCUCUGAGCUUCCAUUUCCUCAUCUAUAAAAUGGGGAUGAGAAUAAUAGUAUAUCUGUCACAGCGUUGCUGUGAGAUUUAACUGAAUUGAUACAUAUAAAACAUAUGAACAUAUAUACAUAAAACAUAUAUACACAUAAAACAAUGCCCGGGAUGGUGAAAUAGCCUAUGGAAGUAUGGCUUGCUCUCAGGGAUCCGUGGACACACAGUGCUUUACUCCACAAGAGUGCCCUGACCCCACCAUAGCUCAGCUCCCUGGGACAGGCAACGGGGCCAACACAAAGGUCUUUCUCCUCCACCGCUGAUGAGUCGUCAGUAAAGGACGCCCUGCCGGCUCCCUCGGCCUUUCUCCUCCUUGUUGCUGCUUCCCCUCAGGGAUGCUCAGUUGGCCUUGUCUUGUGGGGAGUGGAUGGCAGACAAGAGUCCCAG